rnacentral:rRNA from 1 species
UACAGAGACUGCAAGCGUUAUUCGGAUUCACUGGGCGUAAAGGGUGCGCAGGCGGCCAAGUGUGUUAGGCGUGAAAGCCCGGGGCUUAACCCCGGAAUUGCACCUAAAACUACAUGGCUGGAGCAUUGGAGAGGGUAGCAGAAUUCAUGGUGUAGCAGUGAAAUGCGUAGAUAUCAUGAGGAAUACCAGAGGCGAAGGCGGCUACCUGGACAAUUGCUGACGCUCAGGCACGAAAGCGUGGGGAGCAAAAGGG